UCGAGACCUUUGGGUGGCGUUUAUUAGACCUAAAACCAAACCGCUUGCGGUGUUCGGUGAUUCAUAAUAAACUUGGGAAUUGGGUUUUUGGAUGGGAAGUAUCCUUCAAGUUUUUGACCUAUUAGCUUUGGGCGGUAGGGUUUUGGCCUACCGGGGCAACGACGGGUAACGGGGAAUUAGGGUUUGAUUCCGGAGAGGGAACCUGAGAAACGGGUUCCCCAUUUAAGGAAGGCAGCCGGCGGGCAAAUUACCCAAUCCUGACACAGGGAGGUAGUGACAAGAAAUAACAAUACGGGGGUUAAUGUUUUGUAAUUGGAAUGAUGGGAAUUUAAACCUUUUCCAGAGUAUCAAUUGGAGGGCAAGUUUGGUGCCAGCAGGCGCGGUAAUUCCAGGUUCAAUAGGGUAUAUUAAAAUUGUUGCAGUUAAAAAGGUUGUAGUUGAAUUUUUGGUGCCUUGCUUUUGCUCCUUUACGGGUUUUUGCCUUGUGGGUUAUUUUGGACUUUGUUUUACAAAGUCCGGA
rnacentral:rRNA from 1 species